rnacentral:rRNA from 1 species
GACGAACGCUGGCGGCGUGCUUAACACAUGCAAGUCGAACGGGCCUUGUCCCCUUUUUUUUUGGGGGGGGGGUUAGUGGCGAACGGGUGAGUAACACGUGAGUAACCUGCCCCUCACUUCUGGAUAACCGCUUGAAAGGGUGGCUAAUACGGGGUGUUCUGGCCUGCUCGCAUGGGUGGGUUUGGAAAGAUUCGACCGGUUUUGGUUGUUUUGGUGGGGGAUGGGCUCGCGGCCUAUCAGCUUGUUGGUGGGGUGAUGGCCUGCCAAGGCUUUGACGGGUAGCCGGCCUGAGAGGGUGGGCGGUCACACUGGGACUGAGACACGGCCCAGACUCCUACGGGAGGCAGCAGUGGGGAAUAUUGCACAAUGGGCGCAAGCCUGAUGCAGCGACGCCGCGUGAGGGAUGGAGGCCUUCGGGUUGUGAACCUCUUUCGCCAGUGAAGAAGGUCCUGCUCUUUGUGGUGGGGUUGACGGUAGCUGGGUUAAUGAAGCGCCGGCUAACUACGUG